GACGUAGGGGGCCAGCGUUGUUCGGAAUUACUGGGUGUAAAGGGUUCGUAGGCGGUGUGGCAAGUCGGGAGUGAAAUCUCUGGGCUCAACCCAGAGUCUGCUUCCGAAACUGCUGUGCUUGAGUGCGGGAGAGGCGCGUGGAAUUGCAGGUGUAGCGGUGAAAUGCGUAGAUAUCUGCAGGAACACCCGUGGCGAAAGCGGCGCGCUGGACCACUACUGACGCUGAGGAACGAAAGCUAGGGGAGCAAACAGG
rnacentral:rRNA from 1 species